UACUCAUCAAGAGUUGGUGGAGGGACUGGCCCGAUGAAACCGCGGCAACCAUUUGGCAAGUCCAAAACGGUGCCAAUUCCGGCGUACGGCGCGAGAUGGGGA
rnacentral:ncRNA from 20 species